UUCCGGUUCUUUCGUACUUGGGCCAAUAAACGUGAACUGAGUGCUAACGAUAUGUGAAAUUCCCAGUUGCCUAGAGAGGCCCCUUUGAAGCCUUUUCCAGUACCAUCGUGGGUUGCUGAACCGGGUUCCCGAGUUGCACGGAAGUGUUUGGCAGCGGGUGGCGGGGACCAGAGACAGGCUGGUGCCACCUCCUGCUUCUCUGGUUGCGUGGCGUCCUGGAGGGACUGGGCUGAGCGGGGGUGCGGAGGAGGCUGGGGCGUUGAGCUUCACUUCACCCAAGGGUUGUGUACCUCUUCCUGGAGGAGCGGGGGUUUCUGCCGCUGGCGCUGGGGGCUCAGUAUAGAGGUGCUAGUGCCAGGAGACCAAUAACAACCUUGGGGUGCUCGGUGGGGUGCGGCCGCUUUCCUCUCUUUUCGGGCCUCCCCCGAGCCCUCUUUCAAGAGGGACCUAGCUGAUGGGCUGUGUAAUCAGUCCCAUAGUAGUAAGGGACCAGGGAUGGAAUCCUGCUGCUUAAAGGGGCUUCAUCCUGAAACUUUUAUACCAGGAGCCAGCUGGUGGUGGGGAGGUAGUGGCUUCUUGCACUGUGAAGGCACCCUCACCGCCUAACCAAAACUCAUGCCUCCACUCCUUCCCCAGGAUUCCCUGGUCCAAGCUAGUACUUAUUUUCUUGCUGGAGCAAGAGAGCCUGAAGCCUAGAAUCCUGCGUCUGAGAUGACGGUGCACAAGUGACCUAACCCAGCCCAGCAUGAUUCUCGCCUAUGAGAUUAAAUGAUAAGAGUAGUGACACAGGGAUUUCUCACUGUGGCUCAGUGAAUGUGGACACGAAUUUGACUAGCAUCCACGAGGAUUCGAGUGCGAUCCCUGGCCCCGCUCAGUGGGUUAAUGCCCUGGCAUUGUCUCGAUCUGCGGUGUAGGUUGUAGACACGGCUCAGAUUCCACAUUGCUUUUGCUGUGGCUGUGGUGUAGGCCAGCAGCAGUAGUUCCAAUUCAACCCCUAGCCUGGGAACCUCCAUGUGCCAAGGAAGCAGCACUAAAAAGAAAAAAAAAAAAAAAAAAAGAAUAGUGACACAGAAAGGGUAGAAUGGAAAGAGCCCCCACUGGUAAGAAUUGGUGUAGAAAGUGAAGACACCCCAACUUGGUAACCAAGGACUCAUUCAGAGAGAUCUCCCAGGACUACAGCAACUCUCUUCAUAACACAGGGCCUGCUGGGUCCUUUGGAAAUCCGCCAUGAGGCUUCUAGUUCAAAUAGGUAGCUGUUCUUCCAGCUGAGGUGUUCAUUCCCCUCUCCCCAUUCAGGACUGGCUACACAAGUAGCCUGAGGAUGAGCCCCUGCUGGUUUGGUGAUGCUUCCUGCUGUGUUUGGAGAGCCCUUCCAACCUUGGGCUGAACCUGUGGCAUAUGGAAGCUCGCAGCCACAGCAACCUACCAGAUCCGACCCGCGUCUAAGACCUACCCCACAGCUUAUGGCAACGCUGGAUCCUUAACCCACUGACUGAGGCCAGGGAUCAAACCCACGUCCUCAUGGAUACUUGUCCGGUUCAUUACCGCUGAGUCACAAAUGCCUACCUUUAAGGGCUUUCUUUUUUGCCUCCCCGCCCACGGCAUUUGCAGUUCCCCAGUCAGGGGUCAGAUCCAAACCACAGCUGCAAUACUCUACCCUUAAUCCACUGUGCUGGGUUGGAGUCAAACCUGCAUCCCAGUGCAACCAUCCCAUUAUGCCACAGCAGGAACUCCUUAAAGGCUUUAACAUGGCUGGUGAUGGCUUAUUUCUGACAAGCAGAACUAUCCCUCACCUCCUGACAAAACCACAAUUUUCCAAGCCCUGAAUGGGGAAAAGCAUGGCAUCUGCCCAUGGAAUGAGGACCCGCUGAUGGCAGCUGAGACUGGGGGUUCAGAAAUAAGGGACUCUGCCAGAUGAACAGGACCUGCUGUCCCCUUCACACACUCCUCCCCAUUUGGAGAGAAAACAGGUGUGGUGAUGCAAGCCCUUGAGUCUUCAGUUUCAAUUCUCUCGUCUCUUUAGAAGCAAGACAAAGAAGAAGGAAGCGGCCUAGGGAGCCUGAGGAUGCUCCUGUGAGGAACGGGCCCCCCACUGAAGGCCAGGCUGCUCCCUGGCUUAAUGGACUGUGACCAUUCUUUGCCUCAGGUCCCCAGCCAACACCAGACACCAACGUGCUAAGACUGCCAAGAGGCCCUAGCCCUGCCUGGAAUGUAGCCGAUCUUUCAGCCACCCCUCCUUCCUAGUCAGCUACCAGGGGGUCCACUCUGGGGAGCGGCCCUGCCCCUGAGACCAGUGUGGACGUUGCUUCUGCCAAAGAGGCACCCUGGCUGUCCAUAUCCACGUGGGCACACUGGAGAGAAGCCUUUCCGCUGCCCAGACUGUGGAAGGCUCUUUGCUUCCCACUCGAUGCUGGUCAGAUAUCCAGUGAAUCCAUCCCGGAGACCAUCUUUAUGUCUGUGCGCCUUACGGAGUUCGGUUCUCCCAGAGGGCUCACCUGGUCCAGCACCAGCUGCUCCACACGGGGACAAGCCCUAUGCACAUCCAGAUUGUGGCCGAUGCUUCCGGCAGUUCACAGACACAGCUCGGAUCCCAUGUUGCUGAAGCUGUGGUGAGGCCAGCAGCUGUAGAUCUGAUUCAGCCCCUAGACUGGAAACCUCCAUAUGCCGCUGGUGCAGCCCUAAAAAGACCAAAAAAAAAAAAAACAAAAAACAAAAAAAAAACAACAAACCCAAUUAGUAUUCUGUCCAGCCUGCAUUCCCACUUCCUGGAUGUUGGAAGGGGGCCUAGCGCCCUGAGCGAGACCAAGCAAUCGAAUCUGCAACCUCAUGAUUCCUAGUUGGCUUUGUUUCUGCCACGCCACAUCAGGAACUCCUCGGCUCAGGCUUUAAUCAUCUCCUUUCCUUUUCCACGUUAGCAUCUUCUCCGUGUUCAGUUGGCAGCGCAUCAUUACCAAUUGGGCAAAAUGUCCACGAAGAUUAGGUCCUUUCUAGCCUCCUCUAUUUAGUCCAUUUCUUCCUUCAAAAUGAAAUGGAUUCACAGGAGUUCCCUUGUGGUACAGUGAGUUAAGGAUCCAAUGUUGUCACUGCAGUGGCUUGGGUUGCUGCUGUGGCACAGGUUCGAUCCCUGGCCUAGGAACUUCCAUAUGCUGUGGGCACAACAAAAAAAACCCCAAUAAGACAAAACAAACAAAAAAACCCCAAACAAACAAAAAGAAAUUUUUGCUAUUCAUUUGCCUUUUUAUUCCUUUUGCAGCCUAAGUUUACAUUCUUAUUUCUCCAAGCAGAAGUAUGUGUGUGCAGAGAGAGUAGGCACAAAGCUAUCAGUUCAUCUUGCAGACUCCCGGCGCAGUCUUACUAAAACAUCAAUGAAAGGUCAUUUGUUUCUCUAGACUGAUCUAGAGCUCCCCGAUGUACAGGAUGAAGCCCUGCACCAACCUCCCCUUCCAGUCCUCCAGUGUUACCCUAAGUGUAUCCUGUACUACAUUAGAACUUUCCUGAAGUUCUGCCUUGUGCCCGAGAUUUCACAGCCAUGGAAUUCAGGUGUUUAGUCAACAAAUGUAUAUCGAACAGCACUGCUCUCCUUACAUCCUACCUGUUCAUAGACCAAAGUCAUUGGUCCCACUGAGUUAGCGAUCUGGAAAGCUAUUAGGAGGAGGGACUCUGCCUUUUGGGGGACAAUCAUGGAAUUCCACGUGCUUCCCCAGUAAUUUGUUCAGGUAACAGUCACCAUCCUUGGACAGAGUAGAACUCAAUGAAGGCUUACUGCAGGUUGCUUUGGGUUUUGUUUUUUUCUUUUUACAGCUGCAGGUGCGGCAUAUGGAGAUUCCCAGGCUAGGGGUCGAAUUGGAGCUACAGCUGCAGGCCUACACCACAGCCCCAGUAACAUGGGAUCGAGUACAUCUGUGACCUACAAUGCAGCUCAUGGCAACGCCAGAUCCUUAAGCCACUGACCAAGGCCAGGGAUCGAACCCAAGUCCUCAUGGAUACUAGUCAGGUUCAUCACUGCUGAGCCACGAGAACGCUUCUUUUUUUUUUUUUAAACAGACAAAACUGCGUUAUAUGGAAGUUUCCAGGUUGGCAGUUGAAUCCAAGCUGCAUCUGAGACCUAUGCCGCACACAGGAUUCACUGCAUCUGACUGGGGAUUGAACCCAUACCUGGGCAGCAACUUGAGCAGCUGCAGUGUGAUGAUUCUUUUUUUUUUGGUCUUUUUUUUUCCCAUUUCUUGGGCCGCUCCUGCGGCAUAUGGAGGUUCCAGGCUAGGGGUCCAAUCCAGCAACAGCAACGCGGGGAUCCGAGCCGUGUCUGCAACCUACACCACAGCUCAUGGAAAUGCCGGAUCCCUAACCCACUGAGCAAGGCCAGGGAUCGAACUCACAACCUCAGGGUUCCCAGUCAGAUUCGUUAACCACUGAGCCAUGAUGGGAACUCCUGCAGUGAGAUUCUUAACCCACUGUGCCAUAGCAGGAACUCCUAUGAACAUAUUAAUGUUAUUAUCUAUAUUACUUAUAUCUUGUGUAUUGUGUUUUAUAAGAUUAAUGCCUCUUGCAUUAGCCAAUGUAUAACCAGGCCUCAACAAAAUCGAUGGCUAAAUGUCGCGUGGCUGUGUGUGUGUGUGUGUGUGUGAAGUUUUAUAAAGAAUAAAACUUCUAUUUUUUUCAGGAAAAACUGCUAUAUAUCCUGGCUCCUGCCUCUCUGGAGCAGUUCCUCGGAGCUAUCUGGGAGGUUGCAGUGCUCAGCAAAGUCCCCAACGUGCAAUUUUUAGGUCCUGCGUUUUUUUUCAAUGGACAAAAUCUUUGCUCGCUUUCCUUACUAGCAGGACCCCUCUGAGAUUUUCUUAGUUAGUAGAACUAGGUUGAUAAUCAUCCCUUCACACAAUGGUAACAAAAAAUAAAUAAGACGAAAUGUG